rnacentral:rRNA from 1 species
UACGUAGGGUGCGAGCGUUAAUCGGAAUUACUGGGCGUAAAGCGUGCGCAGGCGGUUCUAUAAGACAGAUGUGAAAUCCCCGGGCUUAACCUGGGAACUGCGUUUGUGACUGUAGGACUUGAGUGUGGCAGAGGGGGGUGGAAUUCCGCGUGUAGCAGUGAAAUGCGUAGAUAUGCGGAGGAACACCGAUGGCGAAGGCAAUCCCCUGGACCUGUACUGACGCUCAUGCACGAAAGCGUGGGGAGCAAACAGGAUUAGAAACCCUUGUAGU